rnacentral:lncRNA from 1 species
GUGACUUGGCAUGAAAUUGCAAGGCCUCAGAUACAUGGGUAUGACCUGAAAUGUUUGGCAAUGAUUAAUCGGUUUCAGUUUGUAUCUGGAGCAGAUGAAAAAGUUCUUCGGGUUUUUUCUGCACCUCGGAAUUUUGUGGAAAAUUUUUGUGCCAUUACAGGACAAUCACUGAAUCAUGUGCUCUGUAAUCAAGAUAGUGAUCUUCCAGAAGGAGCCACUGUCCCUGCAUUGGGAUUAUCAAAUAAAGCUGUCUUUCAGGGAGAUAUAGCUUCUCAGCCUUCUGAUGAAGAGGAGCUGUUAACUAGUACUGGUUUUGAGUAUCAGCAGGUGGCCUUUCAGCCCUCCAUACUUACUGCCUCCCACUGAGGAUCAUCUUCUGCAGAAUACUUUGUGGCCUGAAAUAUGGGCACGGUUAUGAAAUAUUUUGUGUUACUUGUAACAGUUCAAAGACUCUGCUUGCCUCAGCUUGUAAGGCAGCUAAGAAAGAGCAUGCAGCUAUCAUUCUUUGGAACACUACAUCUUGGAAACAGGUGCAGAAUUUAGUUUUCCACAGUUUGACAGUCACGCAGAUGGCCUUCUCACCUAAUGAGAAGUUCUUACUAGCUGUUUCCAGAGAUCGAACCUGGUCAUUGUGGAAAAAGCAGGAUACAAUCUCACCUGAGUUCGCCAGUUUUUAGUCUUUUUGCCUUCACCAACAAAAUUACUUCUGUGCACAGUAGAAUUAUUUGGUCUUGUGAUUGGAGUCCUGACAGCAAGUAUUUCUUCACUGGGAGUCGAGACAAAAAGGUGGUUGUCUGGGGUGAGUGCGACUCCACUGAUGACUGUAUUGAGCACAACAUUGGCCCCUGCUCCUCAGUCCUGGACGUGGGUGGGGCUGUGACAGCUGUCAGCGUCUGCCCAGUGCUCCACCCUUCUCAACGAUACGUGGUUGCAGUAGGAUUGGAGUGUGGAAAGAUUUGCUUAUAUACCUGGAAAAAGACUGAUCAAGUUCCAGAAAUAAAUGACUGGACCCACUGUGUAGAAACAAGUCAAAGCCAAAGUCAUACACUGGCUAUCAGAAAAUUAUGCUGGAAGAAUUGCAGUGGAAAAACUGAACAGAAGGAAGCAGAAGGUGCUGAGUGGUUACACUUUGCAAGCUGUGGUGAAGAUCACACUGUGAAGAUACACAGAGUCAAUAAAUGUGCACUGUAAUGGACU